rnacentral:tRNA from 1 species
GGAGGUAUAGCCCAGUGAUAAAGCAUGUGCUUAACAUGCAUGAGGUUCUGGGUUCAAUCCCCAGUACUUCCA